GACGAACGCUGGCGGCGUGCUUAACACAUGCAAGUCGAACGAUGAAACCGGAGCUUGCUCCGGUGGAUUAGUGGCGAACGGGUAAGUAACACGUGAGUAACCUGCCCUUGACUCUGGGAUAACUGCUAGAAAUGGUAGCUAAUACCGGAUACGACCCUCGGAGGCAUCUCCAGGGGGUGGAAAGAAUUUCGGUCAAGGAUGGACUCGCGGCCUAUCAGCUAGUUGGUGAGGUAACGGCUCACCAAGGCGACGACGGGUAGCCGGCCUGAGAGGGUGGCCGGCCACACUGGGACAGAGACACGGCCCAGACUCCUACGGGAGGCAGCAGUGGGGAAUAUUGCACAAUGGGCGCAAGCCUGAUGCAGCAACGCCGCGUGAGGGAUGACGGCCAUCGGGUUGUAAACCUCUUUUAGUAGGGAAGAAGCGAAAGUGACGGUACCUGCAGAAAAAGCACCGGCUAACUACGUACCAGCCGCCGCCGUAA
rnacentral:rRNA from 1 species